AUACGGAGGGGGCUAGCGUUGUUCGGAAUUACUGGGCGUAAAGCGCGCGUAGGCGGACCAGUCAGUCAGGGGUGAAAUCCCGGGGCUCAACCCCGGAACUGCCUUUGAUACUGCUGGUCUUGAGUUCGAGAGAGGUGAGUGGAAUUCCGAGUGUAGAGGUGAAAUUCGUAGAUAUUCAGAGGAACACCAGUGGCGAAGGCGGCUCACUGGCUCGAUACUGACGCUGAGGUGCGAAAGCGUGGGGAGCAAACAGGAUUAGAAACCCCUGUAGUCC
rnacentral:rRNA from 1 species